rnacentral:lncRNA from 1 species
CGGAGUCCUGCUUGGGGAGACUAGAGCACUCACCCUGGGCCUGCUGGAGAGUCCCCGGAGAGAGGGUCGCCGCCCGCCGGCUCCGGGGCACUCGGGUGAGCGCUCGCAGAGGCCGUUGACCGAGCGCACCGAGGCGCCCGGGCAAAGAAGCGGCGGAGCGGCCGCGACGGGCCGGGACAGACGCGAGAACGGCCAGGACUGACCCCUUCCAGGAGCCGUAGCGGAAGUAGGUUUCUGGUCAUGUGACAAGAGAAGGGCGGAUGUUGCAUGCAGGCUCCUGAGCCAUUAUUGUCGUGGGCAAAGUACUCCCGUCUCAGAAAAGAAAAGUGUUCAAGGGCUCUGCUUCUCCUAUGACACUGGCUUGAGAAAGGGCUAGAGAAGAUGAUGAGUGGUUAAAAGCACUGACUGACUGCUCUUCCAGAGAUCCUGAGUUCAAUUCCCAGUAACCACAUGGUGGCUCACAACCACCUGUAAUGGGAUCUGAUGCUCUCUUCUGGAUCUCAUGGCUGGCUUCCAUUUUGUGUGCUCAAUGGUGACUGACACUCACGGCUGCUCAUCUCACCUCCAUCUCCCAGGUGCUGGAACUACAAGUGUGAGAGAAGAUGCUACUCAACUGCCUCCAAAGGGACAGUUUCUGAAGCAACAACUACAUAUCUUGGAUCCUUAAAUCCUUGAAUAUCUGAUAGAAAAAUAUCUUUUCCCUUUACAAAAACAUGCACCCAAGGACUUUACAUACAACUUAGGUUAGUGGGUCACUCGGGAUGCUACAGAUUUCUCCAGGAAGGGCCACGAAAUCCCUCACUUAAAAGCUCUGCUUCUGGGGCUGGAGAGAUGGCUUGGCAGUUCAUAGGCUCUUGUAGGGAUCCAGAAUUCAAUCCCCAGAAACCACAUGCUGGCUCACAGCCAUCCAUAGUGAGAUCUGUUAUGCAGGUGUAGAUGCAGGCAGAAUACUGUGCACAUAAUAAAUAAAUAAAUAAAUCUUAAAAG